rnacentral:rRNA from 1 species
AUUGAACGCUAACGGCGUGCUUAACACAUGCAAGUCGAGCGGCAGCACAGUAGUAGCAAUACUAUGGGUGGCGAGCGGCGGACGGGUGAGUAAUGCAUAGGAAUCUGCCUUGUAGUGGGGGAUAACCCGGGGAAACUCGGGCUAAUACCGCAUAAUCUCUACGGAGCAAAGUGGGGGACCGUAAGGCCUCACGCUAAAAGAUGAGCCUAUGUUGGAUUAGCUAGUUGGUAGGGUAAAGGCCUACCAAGGCAACGAUCCAUAGCUGGUCUGAGAGGAUGAUCAGCCACACUGGGACUGAGACACGGCCCAGACUCCUACGGGAGGCAGCAGUGGGGAAUUUUGGACAAUGGGGGCAACCCUGAUCCAGCAAUGCCGCGUGAGUGAAGAAGGCCUUCGGGUUGUAAAGCUCUUUUGUCAGGGAAGAAACACCGGCUCUAACACAGUCCGGGAAUGACGGUACCUGAAGAAUAAGCACCGGCUAACUACGUGCCAGCCGCCGCCGUAA